rnacentral:lncRNA from 1 species
AGCUGCAUCAGAAAGUGGCAGAACUAGAGAGCAAUAGAUUGGAAAACAUGAAACAAGAAAAGGUUUGGAAGAAGCACAGUUUGAGCAGUGACAAACAGAUGGUUCCUGACAAUGGUAAAAUUCCUCUUUCUUAAACAAAUUAUUAAAGGAUGAAAAGGAUGGGAGACAUUCAUUCACAUGUUUUUGCAGGCAUUUCAUCUACAAGGCUUGAAGAUAUUUAAGAAAUUGUAAGCAUUUGAAGGAACACAUAAUACUGGAUUCUACCAUUUUGAAAUAAAUGUUAAACAUUACCUUAUAAUAUCAUGUUGUGUCUAAUUUAUGUGUACUACAUGUCAUCAAAUUCUUGUCGAUGCAAAAAAAAGAAGAAAAAAAAAAGGGCUGGCAAUGACAUUUAAGAAAUAGUAAGCAUUUCUAAGGAACACAUGAUUUAACAUCUUGAUGCAUGUUCGUUGCAGAAAAAGCUAGAUGUCGUAGUUGCAAUCACCAAAGUUCCCAGUGGUCAGCUUGUUGUUUAAGAGAAUUUUAUGGUUUAUUCUUAUGUUUAGUGUAGCUACCUUUUGCUAAUUUGUGGCAGUAUAUAUGAGUGCAUGCAGCUCCAACACUGCUGCCCACUGAUGAGCCAGUUUGAGAUGACCUCCUCCAUCCCAAGUUUUAUGGUUUUGUUCUUAUCAUUGGGAGAUCUAAUGCUAUGUAUGAAAUCAAUCACAUACAGCACGAGUCGACACAUCCAACAUAUGGCAAUGAUGUUUCUACUUUUCAGGUACCAAUGACAUCUAACGAGGCUCCGUCGACCGUAUCGUCGAUGGUUUUGAGGGCUUCGUUGAGGAAGCGCUGCGGGUUGACGCUGGAGGCAUCGAAUGGUGCUAUGCUCCAUCGACAUUUUGAGCCCCCUUUUUAGCUUUCGCUGAAGGGAAGAAGUGGCAACUGAGAGGGAUCCAAGCACUUGGAUCAAUGCUU